rnacentral:lncRNA from 1 species
AGCGGAUGGAGCAACAGAACGGAAGAGAGGAGCGGUGUAGUUUGUUUUUUUGCUUUUGAUAGCAGAGAGAGCGGUGGGGAUGGAGAUGAAUGUUAAGUUUUUAGGUGGAGGUAAAGCUCCUCUGCCCUGCUUCCUCCUAUGCGGCUGUAGGAGAUCGAGCGAGGAAAUAAUCAGUUGAGACUUGAGAAUGAUUGGCAGAAUAAAACGCAAGGAAUUGUGGUGGUGGAACUCGGGUGAAGACUGAAGAAAAGAGAAACAUGAGGAUUUUUGUAGCACCUUUCACACAAGCGGUUUGGGGAGGCAGUGAACAAUAAAGAAAAUGCAAUUUUUAUGUGCAAAGAUCCCGCUGAAAGUAACACCACGUUGCAGACAUUUUACUAAGCUGGAACUCAUAUGCCGGCACUUCGCCAAAACGCGGUCAUGCUCCACCCAAGGUUGCAAUUUUCAGUGCCUGAAUUUUUUGUUGGCCAAACUGUUAGAACAAAACCUGGAAGUAUUUGUUGGAAUUAUGCCCUAGAGGCAAUAAUAAAUAUAGUUAUUAUUAUAAUUCCUG